UACGGGGGGAGCAAGCGUUGUUCGGAUUUACUGGGCGUAAAGGGCGCGUAGGCGGCCUGUUAAGUCGAACGUGAAAUCCCCGGGCUCAACCCGGGAACUGCGUCCGAUACUGGCAGGCUUGAAUCCGGGAGAGGGAUGCGGAAUUCCAGGUGUAGCGGUGAAAUGCGUAGAUAUCUGGAGGAACACCGGUGGCGAAGGCGGCAUCCUGGACCGGCAUUGACGCUGAGGAGCGAAAGCGUGGGUAGCGAACAGG
rnacentral:rRNA from 1 species